GACGAACGCUGGCGGCGUGCUUAACACAUGCAAGUCGAACGGAAAGGCCCUGCUUGCAGGGUACUCGAGUGGCGAACGGGUGAGUAACACGUGGGUGAUCUGCCCUGCACUUCGGGAUAAGCUUGGGAAACUGGGUCUAAUACCGGAUAGGACCGCACUUUAGUGUGUGUGGUGGAAAGUUUUUUCGGUGUAGGAUGAGCUCGCGGCCUAUCAGCUUGUUGGUGGGGUAAUGGCCUACCAAGGCGGCGACGGGUAGCCGGCCUGAGAGGGUGUACGGCCACAUUGGGACUGAGAUACGGCCCAGACUCCUACGGGAGGCAGCAGUGGGGAAUAUUGCACAAUGGGCGCAAGCCUGAUGCAGCGACGCCGCGUGGGGGAUGAAGGCCUUCGGGUUGUAAACUACUUUCGCUAGGGACGAAGCUUUUUGUGACGGUACCUAGAUAAGAAGCACCGGCUAACUACGUG
rnacentral:rRNA from 1 species